rnacentral:lncRNA from 1 species
UCCUGCUGAAUAAUUGCCAGAUGCUGCUGGCCCUGUACGAAUCCCUGGCCGUGAGCAUUCCUGAGUCCCUGAAGGUCUUCAAGAAAGUUUAGGUGAGGGGAUAAGAGCAGCUGCAUUUUCAAAGUCAGUGAAGGUAGAGCAUUCAAGAGCAUUCCUCUGUAUUAUGGAAGAUAUCCUGAAGCUCAAUGCCUGCAAUAAAAGCAAGC